rnacentral:rRNA from 1 species
UGGGGAAUAUUGCACAAUGGGCGCAAGCCUGAUGCAGCAACGCCGCGUGAGGGACGACGGCCUUCGGGUUGUAAACCUCUUUUAGUAGGGAAGAAGCGAAAGUGACGGUACCUGCAGAAAAAGCACCGGCUAACUACGUGCCAGCAGCCGCGGUAAUACGUAGGGUGCAAGCGUUAACCGGAAUUAUUGGGCGUAAAGAGCUCGUAGGCGGUUUGUCACGUCUGCUGUGAAAACUGGAGGCUCAACCUCCAGCCUGCAGUGGGUACGGGCAGACUAGAGUGCGGUAGGGGAGAUUGGAAUUCCUGGUGUAGCGGUGGAAUACGCAGAUAUCAGGAGGAGCGCCGAUGGCGAAGGCAGAUCUCUGAGCCGUAACUGACGCUGAGGAGCGAAAGCAUGGGGGGCGAACA